CUUGAAUGUCACGUUACGUGUUAUUUAUGGUGAUUUAGUCUAAGUUGCUCCCAGCAACAUAAUGCGAUGUCACACAUUUGGAUCCAAUGACCAGAUCGAGUGUAAGAUGUCACAACAGGGACUAAAAUUGACCAAUUCAAAAAGUAUAGGGACUAAAAUUGACCAAUUCAAAAAGUACAAGUACUAAAAAUGAUCAAAUUAAAGUAUAAGGACUAAACCCAUAACUUUUGCAAAGUACAAGGAGUAAUGGCAAAAUUUAACCAUUAAAGAACUAUGGAUUGGAAAGAUUUUGUCAAUACUUCAGCUGGUUCAAUCCUCCGACGAGUCCUCGUUCAAGGGUAAUUAUAAUCGGUUUGUCAAGGAAAAUGAAGAAAUUGGAGGGGGAAAGGAUUUGUUGCACCCUAAUUUGUUGAUAGAGACUGACUUCAAGCUGGAUCUUGAAGUGAAGAUGGAGCCUGAUUGGGAUUUGUUGCUUGAGUUCUACCUCCACUACCAUGUUUUCUUCCUUUAGUUCGGGAUUGAGCUGUAUUGGAUCUUUUGCUGCCUCCAACUUUUCCUUUAGAAGUUCUCACAUUGUGGCCUAAUUAACCACACUUCUUGCACUUCAUAUGCAUGCCCUUCCUCCACCAUCCUUCAUCUAUAGUUGCGGUUUUAUCUACUGCCUGGUGGCCUCCUUAGCUCUGGUGGCAGUACUGGUUCCAUAUUCUGAACCGUUCUCCAUUGUGUUGCUCAUCUGGCUGGAUUGAUGUGGUGUGAGUAGAUACUUAUCUGAGUAUUCUUGCUGUAAUAGUGGUGCACAUAACUCUUUGGCCUAUCUUGUAUCAUCAUCAUCACUAAAACGACAUGGAUGCAUGGAAUACUUGUGGAAAGAAGCAGUAGAGGUGUUAGUAACAUAAAUGGGUUUCAGGGAUAACAACUCAGAAAUGGUAUUACCAGUUAGAUCCCACUUUCUACAUGAACAAUUGUGGUCAUCCAAGUUAGCCACAUGUUGGUUUGAUGGACCACAUGCAACUUGGUACGUUGGCCUAUCAACAUGCCUUGGCCAGCGCCUGUAAGCAGCCAAUUAACACAUAGCAGACAAAUAAGUUAUGAAGGAAGCAGGCAACUAAGCAACCAACAUUAUCAUGAACUAAGCAGCCAAAUAAAGUUAGCAUAAGUAGCCAAAUAAAUGCAUGAAUAAGCAUCUACAUAUACUCUGAGACUUUCUCCUUGACCUUUGGGUUGAACCUUCGUCCCUAGAACUCUCUGAUAACUCUCAUGACUGAAUUUAACACGUUUGAGUCUCCUUUUUUUGUUGAUAUUUUGAUUCUCUUUUCUUUGAUUUGUUUUGUCCCUUUGCUUAUGCAAGUCUUGAUGGGGGCUCGUUGAAACAAGUAACUUUAUCCUUUUUGUUUGUUUUUUUUUUUUUUUGCUUUUUGGAAUUUUUGUUUGCUUUUAUUAUGGUUGUCGCGAUAUAUUUGAUUGUUGGUUCAAUGUAAAGGUGUGAAUAGUUUGAUUAUAAAUUUUCUUUUGUUGUGG
rnacentral:lncRNA from 1 species